rnacentral:rRNA from 3 species
UACGGAGGGUGCAAGCGUUAAUCGGAAUUACUGGGCGUAAAGGGUGCGUAGGUGGUUUAGUAAGUUAUCUGUGAAAUCCCCGGGCUCAACCUGGGCAGGUCAGAUAAUACUGUUAAACUCGAGUGUGGGAGAGGGUAGUGGAAUUUCCGGUGUAGCGGUGAAAUGCGUAGAGAUCGGAAGGAACACCAGUGGCGAAGGCGGCUACCUGGCCCAACACUGACACUGAGGCACGAAAGCGUGGGGAGCAAACAGG